AAACCAUGAUGAGGGCAGUCUCUCUCAUACUCCUUGAAUCGCUCCCAGGCUUCAUAGAAUGAUUCUAUUGGGCCUUGUUGAACACUUUGUAUCUUAUUUCUCUGCUU
rfam:Eutrema salsugineum unplaced genomic scaffold scaffold_2, whole genome shotgun sequence.